rnacentral:tRNA from 1 species
GGGGCGGUAGCUCAGUUGGUCAGAGCGGCAGACUCAUAAUCUGACAGGUCGUGGGUUCGAGUCCCACUCGCCCUA